AUGUUUUAAGAACCUUGAAAAGUGAACGGCAUAUAUUAGAAGAUUUUGAUCUAACGAUAGAUGUUCUUG
rnacentral:sRNA from 1 species